UAGAAGCACUCAAUACAAGCCUUUCUUCUUCUCUCAAAAUCUUCCGACCUCUCUCAAUCUUAAACACUUCCUUCUAGCCUUUAAAGUUUCCUCCCAACAAGGGCUACCUCCGCCUAGGUCGCCAGCCGCUCCUCCCACAUCCUCGUCAACUUCGCAGAUAAGGAUUUGAAUUAUGACAAUUUCGCAGCUGGGUUAAAGGGAACUCUUCAAAAUGAUAAAUAUCUGUCUGAUAGUAUAAUAAACCUCAUGCUUGGCCCCUGGUUGGACUCACACUCUUUGCCCUAACUUACGUAAAAGCUUUUGGAUUUGAUUGGAUUCAUAUUUGGUCUGAUAGUAUAAUUAAUGACACCUCUCUAUGUUUUUAAGAAGUGGGAUGCAAGAUGCCUUUUCUGGCAUGGGGUAAGUAGAUAAGCAAUUUUUUCUA